rnacentral:rRNA from 1 species
CUUGCCAAGUUUCACCCUUUUCGUUUCUUUAUCAAGGAUCAGGACACGAGGGCCGUUCUGCUUAGUGGUCGUCUUCGCCAUGGCUUAUAUGCACUUGACGCACCGCCUGCAUCUCCUACGACGUCUUCUCCUCAGGUGUUCAGUGGUGUUCGUGUGUCGCCUACGCACUGGCAUGCGCGCCUUGGUCCCCCUGCUGCUCCUAUAGUUAGUCAUGUGCUGCAUCGCCAUGAACUACCAGUUGUGUCCAAUAAGAGUGCUGAAACUAUCUAUGAUGCCUGUCAGCAGGGCAAGAGUCACCAACUACCUUUUUCAGAGUCUAGUUGUGUUGUGAAACAUCCUCUUGAGCUUGUGUUUUCU